rnacentral:rRNA from 1 species
UACGGGGGGAGCAAGCGUUGUUCGGAUUUACUGGGCGUAAAGGGCGCGUAGGCGGCGCGACAAGUCACUUAUGAAAUCUCCGGGCUUAACCCGGAGCGGCCAAGUGAUACUGUAGUGCUAGAGUGCGGAAGGGGCUACUGGAAUUCUCGGUGUAGCGGUGAAAUGCGUAGAUAUCGAGAGGAACACCUGCGGCGAAGGCGGGUAGCUGGGCCGACACUGACGCUGAGGCGCGAAAGCCAGGGGAGCGAACGGG